rnacentral:rRNA from 1 species
UACGUAGGGUGCGAGCGUUGUCCGGAAUUAUUGGGCGUAAAGGGCUCGUAGGCGGUUUGUCGCGUCGGGAGUGAAAUCCCCGAGCUUAACUUGGGAAUUGCGCUCGAAGCUACGUGGCUCGAGUGUGGCAGAGGAAGGUGGAAUUCCACGUGUAGCGGUGAAAUGCGUAGAGAUGUGGAGGAACACCGAUGGCGAAGGCAGCCUUCUGGGCCAACACUGACGCUCAUGCACGAAAGCGUGGGGAGCAAACAGG